UACGUAGGGGGCAAGCGUUGUCCGGAUUUAUUGGGCGUAAAGAGCGUGUAGGCGGCCAUACAGGUCCGUUGUGAAAACUGGAGGCUCAACCUCCAGACGUCGACGGAAACCGUAUGGCUAGAGUCCGGAAGAGGAGAGUGGAAUUCCCGGUGUAGCGGUGAAAUGCGCAGAUAUCGGGAAGAACACCCGUGGCGAAGGCGGCUCUCUGGGACGGUACUGACGCUGAGACGCGAAAGCGUGGGGAGCGAACAGG
rnacentral:rRNA from 1 species